rnacentral:rRNA from 1 species
CACUAUCGUUAACUGAAUACAUAGGUUAACGAGGCGAACCGGGGGAACUGAAACAUCUAAGUACCCCGAGGAAAAGAAAUCAACCGAGAUUCCCCCAGUAGCGGCGAGCGAACGGGGAGCAGCCCAGAGUCUGAAUCAGCUUGUGUGUUAGUGGAACGGUCUGGAAAGUCCGACGGUACAGGGUGAUAGUCCCGUACACCAAAAUGCACAGGUUGUGAACUCGAAGAGUAGGGCGGGACACGUGGUAUCCUGUCUGAAUAUGGGGGGACCAUCCUCCAAGGCUAAAUACUCCUGACUGACCGAUAGUGAACCAGUACCGUGAGGGAAAGGCGAAAAGAACCCCGGCGAGGGGAGUGAAAAAGAACCUGAAACCGUGUACGUACAAGCAGUGGGAGCACCUUCGGGUGUGACUGCGUACCUUUUGUAUAAUGGGUCAGCGACUUAUAUUCUGUAGCAAGGUUAACCGUAUAGGGGAGCCGCAGGGAAACCGAGUCUUAACUGGGCGUUAAGUUGCAGGGUAUAGACCCGAAACCCGGUGAUCUAGCCAUGGGCAGGUUGAAGGUUGGGUAACACUAACUGGAGGACCGAACCGACUAAUGUUGAAAAAUUAGCGGAUGACUUGUGGCUGGGGGUGAAAGGCCAAUCAAACCGGGAGAUAGCUGGUUCUCCCCGAAAGCUAUUUAGGUAGCGCCUCGUGAAUUCAUCUUCGGGGGUAGAGCACUGUUUCGGCUAGGGGGUCAUCCCGACUUACCAACCCGAUGCAAACUACGAAUACCGAAGAAUGUUAUCACGGGAGACACACGGCGGGUGCUAACGUCCGUCGUGAAGAGGGAAACAACCCAGACCGCCAGCUAAGGUCCCAAAGUCAUGGUUAAGUGGGAAACGAUGUGGGAAGGCACAGACAGCCAGGAUGUUGGCUUAGAAGCAGCCAUCAUUUAAAGAAAGCGUAAUAGCUCACUGGUCGAGUCGGCCUGCGCGGAAGAUGUAACGGGGCUAAACCAUGCACCGAAGCUGCGGCAGCGACACUAUGUGUUGUUGGGUAGGGGAGCGUUCUGUAAGCCUGCGAAGGUGUGCUGUGAGGCAUGCUGGAGGUAUCAGAAGUGCGAAUGCUGACAUAAGUAACGAUAAAGCGGGUGAAAAGCCCGCUCGCCGGAAGACCAAGGGUUCCUGUCCAACGUUAAUCGGGGCAGGGUGAGUCGACCCCUAAGGCGAGGCCGAAAGGCGUAGUCGAUGGGAAACAGGUUAAUAUUCCUGUACUUGGUGUUACUGCGAAGGGGGGACGGAGAAGGCUAUGUUAGCCGGGCGACGGUUGUCCCGGUUUAAGCAUGUAGGCUGGUUGUCCAGGCAAAUCCGGAUAAUCAAGGCUGAGGUGUGAUGACGAGGUACUACGGUGCUGAAGUAACAAAUGCCCUGCUUCCAGGAAAAGCCUCUAAGCAUCAGGUAACAUCAAAUCGUACCCCAAACCGACACAGGUGGUCAGGUAGAGAAUACCAAGGCGCUUGAGAGAACUCGGGUGAAGGAACUAGGCAAAAUGGUGCCGUAACUUCGGGAGAAGGCACGCUGGUGUGUAGGUGAAGUCCCUGCGGAUGGAGCUGAGACCAGUCGAAGAUACCAGCUGGCUGCAACUGUUUAUUAAAAACACAGCACUGUGCAAACACGAAAGUGGACGUAUACGGUGUGACGCCUGCCCGGUGCCGGAAGGUUAAUUGAUGGGGUUAUCCGUAAGGAGAAGCUCUUGAUCGAAGCCCCGGUAAACGGCGGCCGUAACUAUAACGGUCCUAAGGUAGCGAAAUUCCUUGUCGGGUAAGUUCCGACCUGCACGAAUGGCGUAAUGAUGGCCAGGCUGUCUCCACCCGAGACUCAGUGAAAUUGAACUCGCUGUGAAGAUGCAGUGUACCCGCGGCAAGACGGAAAGACCCCGUGAACCUUUACUAUAGCUUGACACUGAACAUUGAGCCUUGAUGUGUAGGAUAGGUGGGAGGCUUUGAAGCGUGGACGCCAGUCUGCGUGGAGCCAACCUUGAAAUACCACCCUUUAAUGUUUGAUGUUCUAACGUUGGCCCCUUACCGGGGUUGCGGACAGUGUCUGGUGGGUAGUUUGACUGGGGCGGUCUCCUCCCAAAGCGUAACGGAGGAGCACGAAGGUUAGCUAAUCCUGGUCGGACAUCAGGAGGUUAGUGCAAUGGCAUAAGCUAGCUUGACUGCGAGCGUGACGGCGCGAGCAGGUGCGAAAGCAGGUCAUAGUGAUCCGGUGGUUCUGAAUGGAAGGGCCAUCGCUCAACGGAUAAAAGGUACUCCGGGGAUAACAGGCUGAUACCGCCCAAGAGUUCAUAUCGACGGCGGUGUUUGGCACCUCGAUGUCGGCUCAUCACAUCCUGGGGCUGAAGUAGGUCCCAAGGGUAUGGCUGUUCGCCAUUUAAAGUGGUACGCGAGCUGGGUUUAGAACGUCGUGAGACAGUUCGGUCCCUAUCUGCCGUGGGCGCUGGAGAAUUGAGGGGGGCUGCUCCUAGUACGAGAGGACCGGAGUGGACGCAUCACUGGUGUUCGGGUUGUCAUGCCAAUGGCACUGCCCGGUAGCUAAAUGCGGAAGAGAUAAGUGCUGAAAGCAUCUAAGCACGAAACUUGCCCCGAGAUGAGUUCUCCCUGAGACUUUAAGUCUCCUGAAGGAACGUU